ACGCUGGCGGCAGGCCUAACACAUGCAAGUCGAACGGAGUUAUAUUGUAGCUUGCUAUGGUAUAACUUAGUGGCAGACGGGUGAGUAAUGUAUAGGAAUCUACCUAGUAGUACGGAAUAAUUGUUGGAAACGACAACUAAUACCGUAUACGCCCUACGGGGGAAAAAUUUAUUGCUAUUAGAUGAGCCUAUAUUAGAUUAGCUAGUUGGUGGGGUAAUAGCCUACCAAGGUAAUGAUCUAUAGCUGAUCUGAGAGGAUGAUCAGCCACACUGGAACUGAGAUACGGUCCAGACUCCUACGGGAGGCAGCAGUGGGGAAUAUUGGACAAUGGGCGAAAGCCUGAUCCAGCCAUGCCGCAUGAGUGAAGAAGGCCUUUGGGUUGUAAAGCUCUUUUAGUGAGGAAGAUAAUGACGGUACUCACAGAAGAAGUCCUGGCUAACUCCGUGCCAGCAGCCGCGGUAAUACGGAGAGGGCUAGCGUUAUUCGGAAUUAUUGGGCGUAAAGGGCGCGUAGGCUGGUUAAUAAGUUAAAAGUGAAAUCCCGAGGCUUAACCUUGGAAUUGCUUUUAAAACUAUUAAUCUAGAGAUUGAAAGAGGAUAGAGGAAUUCCUGAUGUAGAGGUAAAAUUCGUAAAUAUUAGGAGGACCACCAGUGGCGAAGGCGUCUAUCUGGUUCAAAUCUGACCGCUGAAGCGCGAAGGCGUGGGGAGCAAACAGGAUUAGAUACCCUGGUAGUCCACGCUGUAAACGAUGAUGUAAAUAUGGGGGAGUUACUUUCUUGUAU
rnacentral:rRNA from 1 species